CCUACGGGGUGCACCAGUAGGGAAUCUUCGGCAAUGGACGAAAGUCUGAUCGAGCAACGCCGCGUGAGUGAAGAAGGUUUUCGGAUCGUAAAACUCUGUUGUUAGAGAAGAACAAGUAGGAGAGUAACUGCUCUUACCUUGACGGUAUCUAACCAGAAAGCCACGGCUAACUACGUGCCAACUGCCGCGGUAAUACGUAGGUGGCAAGCGUUGUCCGGAUUUAUUGGGCGUAAAGCGAGCGCAGGCGGACUUUUUAGUCUGAUGUGAAAGCCCUCGGCUCAACCGAGGAAGGUCAUUGGAAACUGGAGGACUUGAGUGCAGAAGAGGAGAGUGGAAUUCCAUGUGUAGCGGUGAAAUGCGUAGAUAUAUGGAGGAACACCAGUGGCGAAGGCGACUCUCUGGUCUGUAACUGACGCUGAGGCUCGAAAGCGUGGGGAGCAAACAGGAUUAGAUACCCGCGUAGUC
rnacentral:rRNA from 1 species